AAAUAAUACUCUAGAGUCUAGACUCAAUCAUUCAUAUAAAUAGUAAAGUUAAUUACAAUUUGGAACUGAGGGGUUAAGUUAAGCCACUGGGAAACGUCAAAUUGGUAAAUUUUAAAAUCGACAAAACUAGAACUAUUUUGUCGGUCUUUUAUGGUUGUAACACAAGCAUAUUGCACGUGGCAGAAGCUCAGUAAAGGUUAUCCAAUAAUAGAAAAUUUUUCAUUCCUAAUAUGGAAAAAAUAAUAAUAAACAUAAAACUGUCGCUUUUCUCGUAUGACGUCAAAUAUCUUGCCCAAAGAUUCACUUGGCCAUCCGACCAUCCACGCGUCCUCAUCAUAAAGCAACAACUUCAUCUAUUGCACUCGCAUACCUCUCGCGUGUUGCCCUUUCUUUUUAGUAUAUGUGAUGUUCCAUCCGAGAGUGCGUCUCACGUAGGUUGCGUCGCGUGUAAUCUUUUAGAGGUUGUAUUUGGGAAACCGAAUUUUGAUGUUCUUUGCGAAUGAAAAACCACCACGUAUAAGAUUUCUCGAACCUCCCCAAAGGCCAACAUUACUACGCUAAGCUCGAGGCAGCCCCACGUGUACCUUUCCUUUCGGCAGUGCCUGACACCUUAUGCCCUCUCAUUGGAUCAGAUGUGGGACCCUAUAUCAAUUACAGCCGGGGUUGCUACUUUCCCAGUGGGCCCCACACCCCCAAAAGAAUUAACCAAUCAAAUCCCAUCGUUGUUGCUUUGGAGGGUGUAGUGUAGCCCUAGCAACUCAGGUGGAGUGUUGUUGUGUUUGUUUUGUUUUCUCCACGCCCCCUCACCUCACUGGCGACUACAACAGCCGCCGCUACUUAUAUAAUUAUCUCUUCAUUUUGAGCUCCCAUUCCGACGAUAGAGAAGGAAAGAAAGAGAUAGAGAGAGAGGUGGCUGUUUGUUGAAGAUCGGAGGAGGCGUAGAUAUGGAGGGCGGAGAUGGGUGGCAGAUGCUAAGAUGCGCUGCUGGGCAGGUAGAUAAGUCAGUUACUACGAAUCGGACCAUGCUCAGAUUUCGGCCGAUCGCACCGAAACCGGUGGAUACCGGAGCUACAGGUCCGACCGGAAACAAGAACUCAGUUUUGACAAGUGGAAGAAAGAAGAGAAAAUACGUUAGGGUUCAGAACAAUAGUGGGUAUAAUAGAAGAAAGAAAAAGGAACAACAAAUUACAAAAGACGACCUUGCAGCUGCUCCUAAUGGCGUGGGGAGGACCCUGCAGCUCUUGCCUGAGAGUACUGUUACCGACCACUCAACGGACGGCGGAUCUUGGUACGAUUUAGAUCGUACGGUAAGUAAUAAUAAUAAUAAUAAGAAUCCUCCCAUAGGGGAAGAUCAGGGCCUCCCCAUGUGGCUGAGCAGUUACAUGGAUGGUGGUUGUUCAGAUCCGACGGUGGGGAUGCAGUUGCAGCAGAUGAUGGUGAAAUCUUGGGUGACAGUGGAGUGCGUGACAGGCACUUGCAUGAAUGCGCAAGGGACGUUUGGGGUUGGGAGAUGUACGGACGCAGAUAGGAUGAGGAAUCUGGAGGGAGACACGUGUCCGGGGUUUAUAUCGGACGGCGAGAAUAGGGUUCAGUGGCUGAACGAGGCGUUUAAGAGGAUGGUGAGCCAAGGGAAUUACGCAUCGGAGAUAGCGGUGUGGUUGGCAAUAAAAGAGAAGUUGCCGUACACGCAUUGGGCGUUCACAUGCCAAGUAAAGCUGCAAUACAUGGUGGGUAAGGAGAAGUACUCUCGAAUGGUGCCUUGUGAUUUGUGGAGAAUGGACGGUGGAGGAUUUGCAUGGAGGCUGGACGUUAAGGCUGCCCUCACUUUGGGCCGUUGAGUUGUCGAUCAUUUAGUUUUUUAGAUAAGUAGAGAUGGAAUGGAAGAUUGAACUCCAAGAAUAACAGAUCUCAGGAUUGUUGUAACAGGGUUUGAUCUUAAUUUGUGAGGCGGCCAACUUCUGAUGAGGAUCUGAAGAAUAAUUUCAAAUAGAGUCUUGAAAGUGUAUAUUGGUACGUAGUUAAGCAGUAUCAGAUUAUUAAAUUGUUAACUAGCAACCGAUGAAAAGAUAUAUAUAAUGGAAGAGGAGUGCUUUGGAAGAAAUCUAAACAGAUUUAGCAACCGCAAAGCAGCUGAUAAACAUGUGGUGGAUCACCACUUAUGAAGCUAAGAGGGGACAUGCAUGAAGCUAUGUAAAAACCUCUGUUAGAACACCAUCUAGUGUUUCAAAUCCUGGUAUGUUUUAUGUUUUAUGUUUUUUCUUGUCUUUUCUAAUCCAGUAAUGCACAUGUCUUCAUCAGAAUCAAUACUUCUCCAUUUUGUCUUA